UACAUGUCCAGCCCAACGCCAUUUCAGC
rnacentral:sRNA from 1 species